GUGGCCAUGCUGAAAUUGGUAGAUAGGCUUGGUUGAGGGCCAAGUGGAUUUUAUCCUUAAGAGUUCAAAUCUCUCUGGCCGCACCA
rnacentral:tRNA from 1 species